rnacentral:rRNA from 1 species
CCUACGGGAGGCAGCAGUGGGGAAUAUUGGACAAUGGGCGCAAGCCUGAUCCAGCCAUGCCGCGUGUGUGAAGAAGGCCUUAGGGUUGUAAAGCACUUUCAGUGGGGAGAAAGGUAAUUCACUUAAUACGUGAGUUAAUUGAUGUUACCCACAGAAGAAGCACCGGCUAACUCCGUGCCAGCAGCCGCGGUAAUACGGAGGGUGCAAGCGUUAAUCGGAAUUACUGGGCGUAAAGCGUACGUAGGUGGUUUGUUAAGCUAGCUGUGAAAUCCCCGGGCUCAACCUGGGCACUGCAGUUAGAACUGGCAAGCUAGAGUAGGGUAGAGGGGUGUGGAAUUCCAGGUGUAGCGGUGAAAUGCGUAGAUAUCUGGAGGAACAUCAGUGGCGAAGGCGACACCCUGGACUCAUACUGACACUGAGGUGCGAAAGCGUGGGGAGCA